CAGGACACGGGCCCUCGAGGCCUGGAGUUGGACACCCCUGCUGUAGAUGAUCAGUGACUCAGGUUACCAGUAAACAUUAAAAGAUUUCAGAGGAGCACUUUUAAAGUAUCCUUAAUACUUUCAAGCAGAACUGGAUUGGAAACCAAAAAAAGCUUUUUCUGAGCCAUGAGAGCUGACGGGAUACAACUUUUUAAAAUCAGAAACAAAGGUACAGUGAAUGAUAUUAACGGCAGGGAAACAACACUGGGGGAAGACAAGAAGGAGAAGUGUUUCCAGGAGGAAGCUGCAGUGAGGACACACUGAGGUCAGAGUUCCUGGUGAAUCACAGCAGAACCAUAAAGGCUGCUGGACUGCAGGACGGCUUAGCCCUGAGAAGCCAUCCAGUUACAGGAGGAGCAGAUCAAAGAGAAUCGUGAUGUUUCUGCUUCCAUUUUGAUUCCAAGAAGAAGAACGCUUCAAAGAAGUGGCGUUCAUGGUCCACAGUGUGACGAUCGUGGCCACACACUGCAUGUGCUUUUUAAAGCAACAUGUUUCUUCACUUCAAAAACUUUGACAUAUGCCUUGUUGUUUGGAUAUGUGUAAUAUUAGUGCAUGUUAGGGUUUUUUACUGAAAAUUGUUCACGUCUGUUUUGUAUUUUGAUGAUCGCAGCAAAGAUACUGUUUUAAAAAGUUUUGUUUUCAGAGCCUUUCUUUAAAAUCCUGAGCCUGUAGUUUUACAUGAAUGUUACGUUUUCAUUUCUGAUCUUGUAAUGCUUGCACUACACUGUGCACGUCUGCAUUAGAGACAUCUUAGUUACCUAUUUGUGAAACUGAGCUGCUUGACUAUUAUUUGGAAGUGUAUGUAAAAAGCACGAUAUUGUUUCUUUUUUAAUGUGAUGGACUGAACUCAGGAGGUAUCUGCUUUUGACCAAAGAUUAAUCUGAUCUCAUUUCUACCUGUAUCUACUGUUUCAAGAUUUAGCUGAAGUUUGCUCAACUUUAAUUGUUUAUUCCAUCUCUCAUAGUGCAGCCAUGAGACAGACCUAUUAAACUCAAUGCACGAUGUAAAGUUCAUAAUUCUCUGACAAAUAAAACUGUAAUA